UCCAGGAGUGCUGGGUGAUUGUUGUGUCUGUCCAUAAGCAGUGGUAUUGGCUGGAGGUUUCUGUGCUUGAGAAGGUCCAUAAUUGGUCCCAUAUCCAGGUUGAGCUGGUGGUUGACUCCCGUAACCAGUUUGGGCAUAUCCUGGCUGGGUGGAUCCUUGAGGUGGAUAGCUUGAUGGAUUUGGGCUAGGCUGUUGUCCAGUAGGAUAACCUUGCUGACCUGUUGCAGGGGGAUGACUUGGUGCCUGGGCUGAGUCUCCUUGGGCCCCAUAGGAGGAAGUGUGUCCUUCCUGAUUAGCAUUGGCUACAUUACCAUAACUGGGUGCAGAGGUAUAACCUUGCUGUUGAUCAUAUGGUGGGGGUUGACCAUAACCUGAUUGAGCAUACCCACCAUAGCCAUCAUAACUUUGUCCCUGCUGAUUAUAACCAGAAGUUGGUGGCUGACUGUAAUUAUAACCAGUAUUAUCUGCUGGUGCUGCAGAACCACCAGGAGUUGGUGCUGCUUGAGAAGAAGCUGGCUGAUUAUAGUAAUCAUAACCCUGACCAGUCUGCUGAUUGGCAGAGACAUUCGACUGAUCCCAGUUGGUUGGAUAUCCACCAGAUGAUGGUUGGGGAGGAUAUCCUGCAUAAGGUGGCUGAGAUGUAUUAUACUGAGGCGGUGGACCAGGGUAAGCUCCAGGCUGCAUGUAGCCAUAACCAGGCUGCUGCAUUGGAGUAGCUCCAGGUUGCCCCCAGCUGCUUUGUGGUCUUGUUUGAUAUCCUUGCUGUGGAUACCCUCCACCCAUUGACGGAUUUCUUGCACGAUUCUGCACAAAGCAUUUUUGUCCCAAGUAAUCAAAGCAAAUUUUUUCACACGUGGCAGCAAACAGUUAACAGUCAUAGCAAAACAUAUAACAUAUGUUUAUAUAUAAACAUUUAGACAACUGAAAAAACCACAUCUAGACAUCAGCAUUAAACAAAUAAGCAUGUAAGAUGUAGGGAUUAAUUGAUUUCAUAUUUUAUCAGGAAGGGGUAUGAAUGCCUACAUACCGUACUUGGUUGAUGGAAUUAUUGAGUUACUCCUGCAGAAGCCCAUCCUCUACCUACUUGAAGUGAAUAGGUAGUGGUACCAAAAGAACAAAAGGAAGAAAAAAACAACAACUAUACAAGCUUUACCACAAAAGUAAAAGAGGGUAUACAAAUCUCACUGCUGCCAUAAGCUGGCAAUGCUUUCAUGCUCAUCUUAAGUGCAGAACACUAAUAUGAUAUAGUACCCAUUUGAUGAAUUAUAAAUAAUAGAAGCAUUAAGUCAAUAUAAUAAAGCCAUUAAUUAUUACUUUGGCUAUUAACUUGAACAGUAACAAACAAAUACAAGUGCUAUACAAAAGGUAUGUACACAAUGAUAGUUUGUGGCAACUAAAUUUCAAGUGACACACAACAAAUACACACAAAUAGGCAAGAAUGGACUAGUUUGAGAAGCCACAAAUGCAGAAUUGCAGAAAGAAAUACAAAAGAGAAAUGAGACCUCAACCUGCACAUCUCUGGAUAACACAUCCAGCUUGGUCAAUGUGGCAUUAGAAGGGAUUGGAGAUUGUGUAGAAACAAGGUGGGGAUAAAAAGCCAAGCACGGUGGCAGAGAUUAUGAGGUUAAAAUAUCUAUCAAGGAGAACUCAUUUAACAUGAAAAAAUAACAAUUAUCCUGGUAAAACAAAUUAUCACUAGGAUGAAAACAACAAUAAACAUUCAAAAUUAAUUAUAGAAAGACAAAGCAAAAGCAUAAUGUUCUUAAAAUUUGAGAUCAAUAAAAACCACCAAAAUCAAUUAUAAUAUACUAGGCAACAAUAGUUAUCCCCAUUAAGUCACUCAGUAGCAAUAGUGAAGGGGCACUCCGGACAAUAAAGAUUAUCACAAAGACUUGUACCCCAAAAGCCAAUCAAAUCUAUUAAGAUUGUACUCCUCACAAGUAAACUUGCUUCUCAGCAUAAUAUAGUUCACUAAACAUCAAAAAAUGGGAUUCAGAGCCAUACCAGAGAGAUGCCGAGGGAACACCAACACAAUGGAACCCAUGUUGGUGUCACCAAAAGUCCAAAAACACUAACCCUACAAUUGUUCCCAACAACAUCAGUCACAUGACAUGAUCUAUAUAAGUACAGAUGGUGGUAGAGCACACUAUAAACCAAAAGGCUAUUCGCUUGGGAAUACAGUCAAUACUAGAGAAAUAUAGCGCUAAAGAAAUUAGCAUUAUAACACAGCCUUGCUGACUAAACAAAUAAAGCUAAUGCUUGCCCAACAAGCCAAGGAUAAAAUAUAUCAGCAUAGCACUAACAACUAUAUAACAAAAAUAAUACUCUUCAUUCAAGGCUGGGACUUUGAACUUUUAACAUUUCAUCCCUCUAGCCGUCGUCCCAUACAUCCACCAUCAACUUCAAAAUAUAUAUUAGCAGCACUAAGAAUAUAGUAGAGAAAUAAGAAUUAAUGCAGUUGGCAAGACAACCGAUAAAUGUUUACACAAGUCAGUCACAACUCAAAUCUCAGAAAUUAAAAUUCAGUCAAUGCACAAUUCCAUGCUAUCUAUAUCAGCUCCUAGUAUAAGACUAUAGACCAUAAAUUUCUUAAUAAACAGCCCAGGAAUCUCAAUUCAAGUAUGAAAAGGUAGGAAUAUCCUACACUAUGAAGCAGCAAAAGAUCUAAAAGCACGAAACAACUCAAAUGAUGAACUAACUAACAAAGUGAGGCAAAGAUUGAAGCUCUAUUGAAAAAUUAAAAAACCAAAGGAAGAAUGAGAUGGCAGUAAAGAGAAGAGAGAGAGAGAGUAAUAGAUAUUAAAAGCAAUUUUCAGAACCAGAUCUGAAUUAUGUACUUCAACCUGAAUACAGGCCCAAAAAGAUAUAAAAUGAACAUAUUACAGCAAGAUAUAUAUAUACAUAUAUAAACAACCAGAGGAAAAAAGAACUAGUUCCUCAGUUACACCAAAAUAUAUAAUAAAUCAACUCUUUGAUGCAGCAAGUCAAUGUAAAAGAUAGCAGCUAAAUCUGAAUAUCAAGUAAAAAAAUUAAAAUACAAAAUAAUAUAAUAAGCCAUGAACUUCUCGCAUAAGCACAAAUCUCAUGUUUUCUUAUAAUAACUAAUACAAGAAGUAGAAUUGAAGAAAAUAACAAGUAUAAUUUAAGAGAAUAACAAGGCUAAAGUAAAACCAAGCAGAAAAGCAAAGGAAUCAAAACCAAAUAAAAAAAAUGAAGGAAAAUUCAUCUAACAGGAGCAAACAUAGUAAAAUGGAAGCACAGAGAAGAAUUAGGGGUAACAUCCUAUCUUCAGUAUUGUAUUUGCCUUCACUUAACAUGCUUCACACAAUAAAACCUAGGAGUUCCUUGGGCCCAACACUGAAAACAAACAUCAACAACCAAGCAUACCUCACUGGUAACUUCAAGAACCAACUGUUUAGCAAGUUCAAUCUGUUCACUAGUCCCCUCUAUAUGCACAUUCCUUUCUGUUGAUGUAUCACCCGGGGGUAAAUGCAAAGGUAUCACCUGCAGAAGUUUAAAAUACAAAUCUUUGAUUAACUUACUCACGGUAAGUAUUUGAUGUCAACAAUAAACAAGGGAAUCUGCAAAAAUAACAAUGAAUUUGAAUAAUACUACAACACCAACAAAGCUAGAACAUAGAUGAUGGGAGAUGAUCAGGUGUAUGUGGUGCUUAGCAUUGGAAAACGAACCUGAAUACGAGCUCCAGUCCUAGUUUGCAUGUUCUUGAUUGUUUCACCACCUUUACCAAUUACCAGACCAACCUGAAGCCAUAAACAUCACAUGCAAUCCUGAACAAGAAACAAAAUAUAAAAUGGUAGAUGUGCAUGGCUUCUAGACUAUACCUUAUUAUUAGCAAUUUUCAUCACAAAAUGUUCAGAACCACCUUGUCCUGUAAACCUUCUGGAAACAGUGCCAGAACCUCCCGCAUCAGCCUACACAAAAAAAUCCAUCAGGAGGAACCACGUUGUUAUUAGUUUGAUACAUCAUUAAAAAAUGAACAUUGCAUCUCCUUGUCUCCUUAGAAUAUAAAUAAAAAAUAAACACCACAUAUCAUGUUAACCCUUUAGAUAAAAACAAUAUACUAUCUCUUAUUUCCAUUAACUUCACUUGAACUGAACAGAGAUCUCAUGUUGCUAAUGAGCAAGCAGACAAAAACAGCAUUUGCAAAGGAAGCCAUCAAACAUUUGCCCUCAAUCUUACCUGUUCAAGAACUUCAUUUAUUAACUGUUCUGCCUUUGCAAUUUGCUCAGGAGUACCCAUGAGCUCUACCAUCCUAGUAGGAGAAUUCGGGUCAGAAUCCAUAUCUCGAGUAACCUGAAUCUUUGCUCCAGAUUGGAGCUGAAGAUAUUUAAUUGUCUCUCCACCUUUCCCAAUGAUAACACCAACCCUACCAUUUGGAAUAUCAAUCUUUUUGCUUGAACCUCCCAGGUACGAGCUAUAUGAAACAGGAAUUGUAGAAGGGGCCGAGUUUGACAGAGAUUUCAUAUCUGCAGUAAAUCAAAAGUUAUAAAAAUGCCUUCUAGAAAAGAAUCAUCUGCAGUCUUGACACAUAAAGUAGGGAAGUAAAACCAAAACACGGCUCAAAGCAAAUGAAAUUCAAUAGAAGAUAGUCGAGAUCAAGUCAGCGGCCACAUAUUGACGAAAUCAAGUCCUAUACUGCGUCGAUACAUGUAUAUAGCAGAAAACUCCAAGAUAAUCUCAAUACAAAUCCGUGUACAUGUAAAAAGAAUUCAAAGGCAUAGAAGAGACAGAUAACAAAACCUCCUUAACCCCGAGCCCCAAUUAAUUCAGUAAAAUCAACCAAUACUUAUACGUAUAGCAUGGAAAGAAAAUUAGAAGCCUCGAAACACUGAAAACUGAGUGCAGCCACAAAGUCAAAAGAUUAAAGCACAAGCCAAGGAAGGGAACGAAACAAACAUCAAAUCAAAGAAAAUAACGAAAGAGCAAAGUAGCCGCGCAAAAGUGCAAUCACAGAUAUGCGCACACAAAUUCAUAGUAAUAAAAACAAAUAAUGUUGAAUAUAUGUACAUAUAUUUAAAGAAAGAAAGUGUGCGAGUCUCAACCAUUAGGAGCAGUGCUAAAACCCUUAUCACUGGAAUCGAAUCCAGAAGCACCAUUCUCCACCCUAGGACGCUUAAUAUCAGCACCGGCACCACUAAGCAGGCGAGCGGCUAUUUCCUGAGCUUUCUGUUUGGCCAUCUGGAUCUCAUCGGUAGGCGGGGGCACGCUGUUGUAAGACGGCGGGGGGUGAGUGGUGUCUGGGGAUGAGAAGCCAGUAGGCCGUCGAGUUGACGCAGGCGGGGUUUGGUCAUCGUAUUUGCGCUUAUUGGAGGCGACGGUAGAGGGGUCUGAACCGGAAGAGUAUUGCGAUUCAUCAGCCAUGAGUAGAGAAAGGAAUAAAGAAACCCUAGGUACUCGACGCUUGAUUAGAAGAUGCAGGAGGAGAGGGACAAGGCUUUUAUAUCAGACAGACGAGGGCCGAGUGACGGUGCUUAUUGACUGUAAAGAGAUUUUUAUGGAUAAUGGCAUGACCUUAACCUUCAACACUUACAUAAAAUGAAAAACAUAUUAAAAAAUUUGAUUAAACACGUGUUAGCAAUUAAAAAAAUUAUUUUUCCUCACCACAAUUUUAAUUCAUUUUACUUUUUUAUAUAUAUUAAAAAAUAUAUUUUUAUUAAUUCUUUAAUUAUAUUUAUUUUAAAAAGAAUAACAAUUAAUAAAAUAUUAUUUAAAAUUAAAUUAAAUAAAAUUAUAAUAAUCGAUUUAUAUAUUAAAUAUAAUAUAAAAAAUAAAAAUAAAUAAUAAUUUAUUUUAAUCUAUCAGAUAUAAGUACUAAAAAUUUGCAAUCUUCAUUAUAUUCAAAACUUUAUGAAAUUCUAAUUUUUAAAUUUAUUUGAUAAUAGUAAAUCACUAAAGUAAUUUAUUCAAUUAGAUAUAAAAUUUCAUUUUAUAUUUGGUUAUAAUUAUAACUAAAAUUUUUAAUUUUAUAACCCAUCUUUUAAUUUAUUGUAAUUAUAAUCUAACCUAUAAAAUAAUUUUAAUCAAUUAUAAAUUAUUAUAUAUAUACCAAUAAUUAUUUUUUUAAUAUUAGUUAAAUUUAUAUAAACAAUCCCUUAAUUUUAAUUAUACAGUAUAUAACUCUUACUAUUCUAAUUCUAACUUAAAAUCUAAAAUACUUAAUCUAAAAUUGUGUUAUAGUUAUUAAUAAGAGUUAGUUGCCUUUGUAGUAUAGAUUAAUUAGAAUUAAGAGAUUAUUUACAUAGAAUAACUAAUAUUUUAAAGGUUUAGUCUAGUGGAAAGUGCAUCCUGUAGCCUUAAAAGGUCUAAAAUUCGACUCCCCCAACUCCUAUUUAAAAAAAAAAAGACAAAUAAAUAACCUAUAACUUUAAUUAAAAUUAUUUUAAAAAUUGAGUAUGAUUGCAAUAAAUUUGAAUAUAAAUAUUUGAAUUGUUAUGUUCUAUUAGUUAAAUUAUUUUAUUUUAGUGAUUGAUUAACACAGCAAUAAAUUUAAAAAUCGUGAUUAAAAUAAAAAAUAAAAUUUUAAAAAUGUCUAUUAAUUUUAUAAUUAAGUCAUUUUAUAAGUAAAUAAAUAACGUUAUACUAAAAGAAUAAAGUUGUACUAAAAAAAAUAAUUUGAUUUCGCCUUAUUUAACUUGAUUCAGUGACUUUAUUUGAGAUAUCCAAGUUUGAAUUCAAGUGUAUACACCUUCGGUCCCUAUUAAAAUAAAGUUGAUUUCAUAAGCAUCCUUUCUCCUCCAUUUUUUAUAAUUGGAUUACAAUAUUUAUGAAAAUACUAAUUAUAGUGAUAUUUUUCUUCUUUAUGACAUUAUUUUGCAAAUAAUUUAGAUUCACAUUCCUUUUUGUGUUUGUUUACAUGAGCGACUAUUUGCUGAUGUAAAGAAAAAUAAUAGGACAAGACUCAACACAACGAUUAAAUACUCCUUGCAGUACUAAACUUUAAUUAGGUGGCCUGCGUUCACAAUCGUCGGAGGAAAGCCAUGUAAUUUUACCACUUCCCUAAUAAAGAGCUCUGUCACUAACGCGCUGUGAAAGGAUAGAGGAGAAAUAAAAUGUACGUUAGUCUAGUCCACAGAAUUUGAUUUAAAUUUAAACAACUGAUCAAACCUAUUGAAGCCUACACAGAUUAAGUUCUGGUUGAGCUUGGCCAGGAAGGUGGGAAAAAGUCUCCUAGCUGUCAACCACUGCUUUAAAUAAUGAACAGCAGAGAAUUUUAGCAAUCAAGUUUGUUUAUUUUAUACUAGUUAUAUAUACUUCCCCGUCUAUAGACUACUGACUUCUUUAGUGGAUUUUUUUUUUUUUUUUAACGUUGGUUAGUUCAUUUUACAAAUGCACAACUCUUGCGGGAGUAUAUUUUGAGCUACUAUAUACAGCCACUGUGAGCAAAACUGAAAAAGGGGUUAAUUGCAAUCAACAUUCUUACAAAAUAUAUGAAUGUCGUUUGUAUUGGGAGAUAAAAUCUGAGAUUGCGAUAAGCACUUCCUUUACGUACUAUAACAUACUGAAAACAGCCUCAGCUUGAGUGGCUUGGAUGGUAACAAGCUAUUGCUUAACUGGGCAAACGAUAUGAUUUAAUAAAAUUCAUAAAGCUGCUGUAAAUACUGGCUAGAAAUCAUGGACUACAUUGCUGGUUUCUUUGAAAAGAGAAAGGCCUAUUUGCGUCCAAAUACUGGCUAGGCUAACUAAAAGGUCUGCUAAGCGCAAGGAAUUUUAUCGUGAAUUCGAGUCAAUCGGGAUACUUCAUCUGUUCAGCUGCCAGAGGUAGGUGCACAUUGCAACAGAGUCGCUUGGCCUAUUUCCCUCGCAUGCAAGUGAGUUCCUAAUUUGGUUUUGAAUUUUAGCUGGAUAACCAAUGCAGCUUAACUAAUUUGACUCUUGAUGCAACGCUCUGAAAACUAGUAGCCAGUAAAUGGGAAUAAUCGACCUACAAUUUCUCCAGCGCAAAACCAAGAAAAGCACUCCAAUCCAAUCCAAGUGGCAAUCUUCGACGCCAAGCACCUGCCUAUUUUACCAUGGAUGUUUGUCAUAAUCAAGCUCCUUCCACAGUGCUUCAUAGCACCCAAGAACAUUUCAUCACACACAGAUUUUUAGGCUCGAAAACAUAUGAGAAAAUGAACAAACUCAAAGCGCAUCGACUGUUUACCCCACGCAAUGCAUGACCUGGCAUGUAACAUGCCAAUAAAACACACAUAUUUGUAGUCGAUAUCUUACCAAGUAGUUCUCCUCAAAUGACGGUGGGAAAAAUAGGAAUGCACAAAAAAAUCCAAAAUUGACCAAACCAAAUUGACGAUUCCAUUAUAACUUGUAAUCCCCAUCCACCUUUCCUGUAGAAUCUAAUAUUUUAGAGGACCCAGUAAGGGCCGUUCUUGAAGUUCACUAGUUCAGAAGGCUGAAAUACAAGUAACUAUAUUUUGCUUAAACAUCUUCCACAGUUGCCCAAUAGAACAAAUUGAUGACCCCAGUGAACUCUUAAAACAAAUUUAUGAAAUAAGUUGCAACCAGAAAUGUUCAAAUGCGAUGCAGGACAGAAAAGCAUGACAAAUAGUACUCAACCUGCAAAUUAACAACAAAAAAUUAAAAUUGCAACAUUUAAAAAAAAAAAAAAAAACUAGCAUGUCCUAAGACAUCUUAAGGAAAUCAAGUCUUCACACUAUAAAUCCGAACUACAACUAACAGCAGGAAUACAUAAAACAUCAAACAACCACCACCAUCUUAAGUUUGUGGCGAUGUUUUUGCAACUCCACUCUGUUGAACAGGCUGUGAUGCUGCUGAAGAAUCAUAAGUCGAACGAGCAUUAUUGCCAGCAUUGCCAUCUGCAGGAUAUGCUGCAGGCUGAGAAUAUCCACCACCAUAAGAAGUGUUGUAAGGUUGCAUCCCCUGUCCAUAACCUGUUUGACCAGCUGUUGCCGAACCAUAAGGCGGACCAUACCCUGGUUGAGCACCUGAAGCACCAAACCCAGAUGGUGGCAGUCGCUGUGGACCUGAAUCUGGUUGGGAAUAGCCAGAUGGCAGAGGCUGAGAAUGUGGGUAUCCAGGCUGCACAGAGGCAGGCUGGCCAUAACCUCCAGGAGUGCUAGGUGAUUGUUGUGUCUGACCAUAAACAGAGGGAUUGGCUGGAGGUUUCUGAGCUUGUGGUGGUCCAUAGUUGGACCCAUAUCCAGGCUGAGCUGGUGGUUGACUCCCAUAACCGGGUUGGGCAUAUCCUGGCUGGGUGGAUCCUUGAGGUGGAUAACUAGAUGGGUUUGGGCUAGGCUGUUGUCCAGUAGUAUAACCUUGCUGACCCAUUGCAGGGGGAUGAGUUGGUGCUUGGGUCGAGUCCCCUUGGGUUCCAUAGGAGGAAGUGUGCCCUUCCUGAGUAGCACUGCCUACAUUACCAUAACUGGGAGCAGAGGUAUAACCUUGCUGUUGAUCAUAUGGUGGUGGUUGACCAUAACCUGAUUGAGUAUAUCCACCAUAGCCAUCAUAACUUUGUCCUUGCUGAUUAAAACCAGAAGUUGGUGGCUGACUGUAAUUAUAACCAGUGUUAUCUGCUGGAGCUGCAGGACCACCAGAGGUUGGUGGUGGUUGUGAAGAAGCUGGCUGAUUAUAGUAAUCAUAACCCUGACCAGUUUGCUGAUUGGCAGAGACAUUUGACUGAUCCCAGUUGGAUGG
rnacentral:lncRNA from 1 species